rnacentral:rRNA from 1 species
UACGAAGGGGGCUAGCGUUGCUCGGAAUCACUGGGCGUAAAGCGCACGUAGGCGGCUUUCUAAGUCAGGGGUGAAAUCCUGGAGCUCAACUCCAGAACUGCCUUUGAUACUGGAGAGCUUGAGUCCGGGAGAGGUGAGUGGAACUCCGAGUGUAGAGGUGAAAUUCGUAGAUAUUCGGAAGAACACCAGUGGCGAAGGCGGCUCACUGGCCCGGUACUGACGCUGAUGUGCGAAAGCGUGGGGAGCAA